GACGAACGCUGGCGGCGUGCUUAACACAUGCAAGUCGAACGGAAAGGCCCUGCUUUUGUGGGGUGCUCGAGUGGCGAACGGGUGAGUAACACGUGAGUAACCUGCCCUUGACUUUGGGAUAACUUCAGGAAACUGGGGCUAAUACCGGGUAGGAGCUCCUGCUGCAUGGUGGGGGUUGGAAAGUUUCGGCGGUUGGGGAUGGACUCGCGGCUUAUCAGCUUGUUGGUGGGGUAGUGGCUUACCAAGGCUUUGACGGGUAGCCGGCCUGAGAGGGUGACCGGCCACAUUGGGACUGAGAUACGGCCCAGACUCCUACGGGAGGCAGCAGUGGGGAAUAUUGCACAAUGGGCGGAAGCCUGAUGCAGCAACGCCGCGUGCGGGAUGACGGCCUUCGGGUUGUAAACCGCCUUCGCCUGCGACGAAGCGUGAGUGACGGUAAUGGGUAAAGAAGCACCGGCUAACUACGUG
rnacentral:rRNA from 1 species